rnacentral:tRNA from 1 species
ACAAGUUUAGGUAAAUGGUAUACCAAUUGCCUUCCACGUAAUUAUUGCUGGUUCGAAUCCAGCAACUUGUA